rnacentral:lncRNA from 1 species
AUUAGUCUGUUUUUGAUUCUAUGGAUUCGUAAUUCAUAGAACUACAACAUACUAGAAUUAUAACAAUUUAUAAAAAUGCUAACUAGACUAAAUCUUGACCCAAAACUCAUGUUCCUACUAAAUUUUCAUGUUUUAAUAUGUUUGGUGAAUUCAUUCAUUACAAAUUCGUUUCUUAACCAAAUUGAUUCAUUCAACUUGCGUUCUUUUCGUUUUU